CCUACGGGAGGCAGCAGUGAGGAAUAUUGGUCAAUGGCCGAGAGUCUGAACCAGCCAAGUAGCGUGAAGGAUGACUGCCCUAUGGGUUGUAAACUUCUUUUAUAUGGGAAUAAAAUGUUCCACGUGUGGGUUUUUGUAUGUACCUUACGAAUAAGCAUCGGCUAACUCCGUGCCAGCAGCCGCGGUAAUACGGAGGAUCCGAGCGUUAUCCGGAUUUAUUGGGUUUAUAGGGUGCGUAGGUGGAUUGUUAAGUCAGGUGUGAAAGUUUGCGGCUCAACCGUAAAAUUGCAGUUGAAACUGGCAGUCUUGAGUACAGUAGAGGUGGGCGGAAUUCGUGGUGUAGCGGUGAAAUGCUUAGAUAUCACGAAGAACUCCGAUUGCGAAGGCAGCUCACUGGACUGCAACUGACGCUGAGGCUCGAAAGUGUGGGUAUCAAACAGGAUUAGAUACCCCAGUAGUC
rnacentral:rRNA from 1 species